rnacentral:rRNA from 1 species
CACGUAGGGCGCAAGCGUUGUCCGGAAUUAUUGGGCGUAAAGAGCUCGUAGGCGGUCUGUUGCGUCCGCUGUGAAAAACUCGGGGCUUAACCCCGAGCCUGCAGUGGAUACGGGCAGGCUAGAGUUCGGUAGGGGAGACUGGAAUUCCUGGUGUAGCGGUGAAAUGCGCAGAUAUCAGGAGGAACACCGGUGGCGAAGGCGGGUCUCUGGGCCGAUACUGACGCUGAGGAGCGAAAGCGUGGGGAGCGAACAGG